AAAGAGAGAGAGAAGAAAGAAAAUGAGAUGAAGAAGUUUAAGAUAACAGGUCAGGAGGAGGCUAUAUAUCAGGCUACAGUGACGGUAGCAUCUAAAGGACGUAAGAACGACCUGGCUGUGAAGAAUAGGGACAUCGUCAGCAUCAUACGGACCACAAACUGCCCCAAAGGAAAAUGGCUAGCCAGGGACAGCACUAAUACAUAUGGGUACAUCUCAGUGAGCCAGGUGGAGCUGGACAUUAGGGAGAUGUUGGAGCUGGGGAAGAAGGCUUCUCAUGCCAUCAGCCAUAAGGACAGCAGUACUGUGGUAGAACAGGGAGGAGAGCUGGCCAGGAUGGGCAGGAGGACUUCCAAUCACUACCCACUACAGGACGAUACAGGCAGCUUUACAGACGACAGUGAGGAGUGGACGUCUGAUGACGAUGAACCUCUCUCCUACCCAUUGAGGAAGAUCCUACAGAGAGUGGCCACAUCCAAACAAUGUCCAUGGCGGGAAGCAGAGAGUUUAGCAUCCACCACCAACAAACACACAAUGACACCACCAUAGAUGGAAUGGAUAUGCAGGUGAAACACGAAGCACUUCAGAAGCUGGCCACUUUCUUCCACAAACCUGUUGUAGAGGAACCCAUCAGGAGACCUGAAGAACCUGAACCCAUCAGCCCCGUGGAUAUAGAAGAACCAGUGUACCCAUGUAAAGUGGAAGCAGAUUUGGAGCUUCCAGACAUGAUGAUUCUUCCUCCUCCUGGCCUGUUUGCAGACAACAAUCAAUGACGCUUAGUAGACUACCAACUACAGUUGGAGAGCAGAGGAACAACGGCAACAUGGUAUGUUGUCGAGUGCCAGUCAUCUCCAUGACAAUCACUCAGAUAACGGAGACAUGAAGGAUCGUUGUUUGGACAACCUGCAAUUGGAUGGACUAUUUCUCUGUUAUAAUAUUGUUUAAGCCAGGAUUCAUUCCGAGAGCUCUAGUCAACAAUGCAGAUUUUUAAGGCAAUGUUACCGUCUUUGCGGAGUCCGCAUUCAAGAUAAAUGCUGCAGAUGUCGACUCAAUUGGAAAUMAUCUUUAAAAUGUCAAUAACGCUAUAGCGUUUCAGAUUGAAUUUCUUGUUUUGAUGUCCAUCCAGGGUUAUGGAGGAUGAGAUGAAGGAUACAGACAGAGAGCAGUUCUGUUUAUACUAAAUGUUCAAUAGUUUUAUACAAAGACAAUUAUGGGAUACCAUGCAUAGUGUAAUGUCUGUUUACAGGUGUUUGCAUUUGGCUAGAUGACAAAUCAACAGUCUGUAUCCAGCUACUGUCUGUGUCUAAAA